rnacentral:lncRNA from 1 species
GAUAUCCCUGACAUUGUCAAACUGUUCUAUUUCACCGAUGACAUCUGUAAUUAAAGAAAAUGAUGGUAGAAAACAUAUAACAUCUUAGUAGAGUGCAAAUGAGUAUUCAAUUUGAUAUCGUAAGAUCUAUCUAUCUAUGUAUAUACUAAAUCCAUAUACUAAAUCGCUGAACCUGUAGAGAAAGACUAUUUUUUCUCUUUCUCGUAGUUGUUAGUGUGUACCCAUGGGCACACACUAGAAAGAUCCAUAUAUAAAACACACACACACAGGGUCCUACUCCAAAAGAAAAUACCAAAAUAGAAACUAAAUAGAAACCAAUGCGAUUAACUAGAAUGAUGCGGGUUUUCGGACUGAGGAUGGACCCCGAGGUGGGCCUAAACGGGGUCUAAGUGGGGCCUAAUAAGGCUAGGUCGGGGCCUAGUGGGAUCGUGGUGGGGACAAGGUUUGGCUCUUUAAGACUGUCCGGAGCCUGUCUAGGGCAUGUGAGGAUCCUUGGCGAGGCCCCGAUGGGCCCGCGGUGGAUUGAAUGAGGGUGAGGGUGGGCCUAGGUGGGUGAUGACAUAUAGGGGUGGGUGUUGACAUAUAGGGUUGGGUGAGGUCAUUUAGGUAUAGUUUCUUUUGGUUUCCAUUUUAGUUUUUAUUUUAGUGGGUUCUAUUUGAGCAAUUGUCUAUAUACAUAGAUACAUACAUAUAUAUAUAUAGGCUCAUGAUAAAAUACAAACCAAUCUUAAAAUAAAAACUAAAAACCAUUAUUAACGCCAUUACUUUACCCAUAUGUCUCUCACCAACCCCAUUUUUUCUCUCUCUUCUUUCAACUCCGCACAUCCGCCGUCACUAUCCACUGCCUCACUACUCCUGACUUCACCAUCACCAUUAUUACCUCUGCCCAACCUCUCCCCACCAUCAGCAUCUUCAUCCUUGCUUCGCUAUCACCAUCUUAGCCUUUCUCUGCCAUCACCAUCUUUUUCCUUUUCCCGUCAUGACUAUCUCUCUCAUCUAUGUUCCCCUUCCUCUAUCUUUUUCGAACAAUCUUUCUCUCAAGAAUGAUUAGAGCUCAGUCAUGGAUUUUAACGUUGUUAAAAUUCUAAUAUAGCUGUUAAUAUAUUUAUAAAAAUCGAUGAUUUCUUCCAUACAAAUUAGUGAUAUUCGCUUUACAAAAUAUUGAUAUACAUUGUAAAAAUUAGUGAUAUUUGGUUUGGAAAAUAGUGAUUUGUGUUACAAAAAUUAGUGAUUCCUUCUAAUAAGUUAGAGAAUUGUAUCUAGUGUUACUGAUGAUUGGCGAUAGCUGGGAUAUAUUAAUAAUCUAAUUGUAAUGUGAGAUGAAUGGAAAGUGACGAUGUACAGGAUGUCAUCGUGAAGAUGAAGAAGAUGAACUACAUUGCGUGUUUAUUUGUUUUGUGUGUAUAAGAUGUGUAUAUUAGGGUGUAAUUAGAAAAAGGUGGGCGGCUGUUCAAAAAUUAGUGGGCUGGGUUGUAAUUUGUUUGGGUUGGGCUGCAUUUGUAGUUUGUAGAAUAAGAAGGUUUGAAAAAGAAUAUAUAUAUAUAUAUAUACACACAUAUAUAUAUAUAUAUAUAUAUAUAUAUAUAUAUAUACACAUUCUACAUGAAUAUAUAUAUGGGGAUAGAUAUAUGGAUGGAUUGAUGGAUUGCCCAAGUACAAACCAAUAUUAAAGUGAAAAUUACAUAUAUAAUGAUCCCUGGAAGUCACCAUCAUGUCUUAAGAAAUCACACAUAAUCCCCCGUGUUUCAAAUUUGAUCUAUCCCUCAAUCAGUGAUUUUUUAUUUUUGAAAUAUGACUUUAUUCUAUUUUUUUCUUCUCCAUAUGAUUUAGAAUUUAUUUUUUAUUUAACUUUUAGUUUUUAAUUUUAUGAAGGUUUAAUUAUAGUUAAGUAUUACAAACACACACACACACACACACAUAUACUUUAAUUUAAUGAGUAAUAGACUUUUUUUAUGUAAUGAACAUUAUGUAUUAGUAAUUAUUGAGAAACUUGUUAUUAUAUUUUAUAAGAACUUAAUUUUUAAAAUUAAAUUUUUUGUAAAUUGAAUAUAUUAUAAUUUAAAUGAUAAGCUUUCUACAAUAUAAUUUAUUUGUAUCUCAAAAAUAGUAACAUAAUAUUAGUAACCACAACUAACUUAACCUAUAAGGUUAUCUUUAAUUUUUAAAAAAUUAAUUAUUCAUCAUGAACAAUUUUUUUUUAUUUUUCUCUAUUUAAUCAAAAUUAAUCUAGAAGUGUUUGUAUACUUUGACACUUAUAUAAAAUAGGUGGUUUAUAAAGCAAAAAAAUUGCUAGUUGUUUGCAUCAACACUUUUCUAAUUGGACAUUAUUCAGGGUUUUAUUCCAAAAAGAUAUAACUAUGAACAAACCUUUUUGCCACUAGGCCCAACCCAUUAUGUGAGGAACUUAUAUUAGUAUCCGGUUUGUGCAUAGUAAAACCCUAAUCUAAGUAGCAGCCCGCCUCUCCACAUCCCUUCUCAUCAUCUUGGUUCCAUCUCAACCUAAUCUAGGUAUCACUUAGUCCUCUCCCGAUCUCUUUGCUGAACCCUCUCUGGAUCUCACUUAGUCCUCUCCGAUCUCUUUGCUGAACCCUCUAUGGAUCUUUUCUGAUCUCAUUGGUUACUCCAGAUCUCUUUGGUGAGCCCUCUGUGGAUGUGGAUCUCUUCUGAUCUCAUGGGUGGCACGCUUGGUAAACAUGUCUGUUAGUGGUUUUUCAUUUCAGUAGCUAGAUUUGACCUUUGGUGUAUCUUUUGCUUAAUGAUUGUAUAUUUAGGCUAUACAUAUAUGAUGAAUUUGUUGUGAUCUCUAUUCCUCAUAUAUAUCAUAUAAGACCUUCAUUUAAUUGAAUUUUAAUUUUAAUAUAUUAUAUUCAUAAAUUGAUGAAUUUAUUAUGAAAUAUUUGUUUGACUUUUAUUUAAAUGAAAAAAAUAGUAAAAGAAUAUGAAUAAUGAUUCUUUGCAUCAUUAUACACUAUCCAAAACUGCAAGAGUAGUGAAAACUUUUUAUUUUUAUGACCACUAUGCAAGCAAAAUAGAUCACAUAAGUGAAUAAGGAGUCUAUGAAUGUGUUAUAUAUAUAUAUAUUGUAUUUAAUAAUUUUUUACUUAUUUUUAUUGUGUUGAAUCUUUGUGCUAUUACAUUUGAAUAUUGCACCUUCAACAUUUUAAUAUACACGUGGCUAAUUAUUUUUUUGCAGCAACUCUCCUCAUAUAGGUGAUGAUAAACAAUAAAGAAAAUGCUCCAGUAUUCUCUAAAUUAAUUAUAUUCUCCAGGUAGUAUAACAUAAACUUUUAGUUAUAACAUUACAACAGUAAUAUAUUUUUUGUACCUUAAUUAAUAGUAUUCAUACUUUGCUGUGUAGAUUUAUUAAGAUAUUAUAGUCAGGUACACCGUAUAUGUGGCUUGGAGAAGUUAACUAAACAGUAAAUUCAUAGGAUUAAGAUAACACAACUACUCAACUUUGAAGAUAUAAAAAUUUAGUAAGGUUAUGAUUAAAUGUGAAUGAAACUAUCUAAUUAAGCAAUGACAGGACUUGGAGAUGAUUAGAAAAUAUUUUACAUAGGUAACUUAAAAGGUAAUCUAAGUUCAACAGAAAUUAAAAUCUGAGCACUUGCAACAAAGGUAGACCGCUUAAACAGGUAUUGUUGUCUUGUUUAUGAAGGUGUUAGAGCGAGUCCAACAAUGUCCUAAAUUGAUGUCCCAAGUUAAAAUAUAAGGCAAUUGGAUGAAAUGUGAGCUCCAACAAUGUUCUAGUGGUGCCUUAAACCACUAGGACAUCCAACAAGUGCCUCAUUUUUGGGGCACUUCUAAGCAUGUCCUAAACUAAUUUUCUCAUUAAAAUAUUAACUACCCACCAUCUCAAUGCACCUCUCUCCUCUUACUUUUUCACUUCCCUCCAAUUCUAAUUCAAAUAAAUUAUUAGUUUAAUAAUAAGGGCACACAUAUAAGGCAUGUUUGUUGGAGUUCAUGUAUCAAAAAGAUAUUAAUUAACUUCAGCCUACCUUAUUUCUGGGUUGCAUCAAUGCAUAUACACCUGACCUUGUUGCCGUUUUUUGACUUCCACAAGCUUAGACUAUUAAUAUUAUCCUGCUUCAUUCUUAUCUAGCUGUAUAUAUAUAUUAUGGUUUAACUUUCCCAUGCACGUACAUCUGUUAUUUUAAUCCUGCUAGCUGUAUUUGACUAGAUUGCUGCUUGCUUCCAUUUAUAUCCCAGAAGACCUGGAAUCUAUUGUGCUGCAUUUACCUCUGCUGCAUGCUUACUAUUCAAACCAAUUUGUUAUAAUUAAUAUAUUGCUAGCUGGAGAGUUUGAAAUUCUAACAAUAUUUUUCUGUACAGGAGGUAAUGUGGAUAUGAAAGUGAAAUCCAGUGCAGAGAACAACUUUGUAACAACUGUUGCUGAAAUACCCAAAAAAGGUGAUUUUCAGCCUACUAUACCUAGCAAGGAACCUGGGAAACAUGUGUAUAAGAGAAGUAAAGUUCAUCAGCAGAGUGGUGUGCAAGUCAAAACUCUUGACAGUGAAUGACACUAUCAAGGUAUGUGCUGGAACUUAUUUCAUAUUAGAUACAUGCAAGUAAUUAUUUAGCUGAAGACCAUUCUUUGCAUGUGAUUUUUUAUGCGCUUUUUAAUUGCUGGAAGAUGUUGAGGAAAAAUAUAUCUGUAACUACUAUAAUAGUCUAUAUUUGGUCCAGUUUAUUUUGUGGCAGUUAGAUUAACCAUUAUCAAUAAUUCAUUUCAUGAUUUUCAGCUUUUCUAUUUUUAUUUUACGGCUAUGAAAAUUCUACUACUGCUAUUGUAUUGGUAACAGAAAGUUUUGUUAUUUUUUGAAGUAGUUCUGUCUGUAAACAGACAAGAUGAUUCCGAAACUCCUCCAUUUAAUCAAGAGAAUGCAAUGGAGUCCGCUCCACUUCAGAAAAAGGAUGGUCCGGGUAAGCUCAUUGUUUGAACUAUAAUUGUGAUAUUAUGAUCUGGAAUCUUGUUAUGUUAUCCAUGAAAUUUACCUGUUAAAAAUCUCAAUCAACAUGCUGCAUCAAUUGAUAUAGGUGGUGGAGUUGGAACCCCUGCCAUUGUAGGCAUUGAUGCUAUGGAGAACGAACAGAGUUUGCCAUUUGUUAAGAAUCACCUACUUUGUGAAGAUAUCCAUUCUAUGGAAACCUAUAAGUAAAAUGACACAGAAGCCACACUUCGCCCCACUGUACGNNNNNNNNNNNNNNNNNNNNNNNNNNNNNNNNNNNNNNNNNNNNNNNNNNNNNNNNNNNNNNNNNNNNNNNNNNNNNNNNNNNNNNNNNNNNNNNNNNNNNNNNNNNUUUUUUUUUUUUUUUUUUUUUUUCUGGUUUUCAAACUCAGUACUAUAUAUUGAACACAAGCAAAAUGAUGUGGGUAACAUUAAUGAGUGGUGAUGGAUGUAGAUGGUAUUUUUGAAUGAGUGGUUAUUAGGAUUAGAUCUCAUAUCUCAUGUUACUAUUGCUUUUCAUUGGAGAAGUCUCUCAAACUUUCUCUCUCUCUCUUUCUAUAUAUAUAGGCCACACAUAAAAUAAGAUGGUUUGUAGUGGAAGAAGACUGUAUAUAUAUAUACAUACAUAUAUAUAUAUAUAUAUAUGGGUAUAUGAGUAAAGUUCAAUGGAGACCAUUUUAUUGGAGACGGUGGAGACCACUUAUUAUGUUCUGCAAUCAAAACACUAUAAAAUACAUUAUUUUGUGAAGUAUGUUUAACAAAUAUCAUGUAUUCAUUAAAAUUGUUGAAGAUCAUCUAUGUUUCAUAAGUAUAUAAUGUAUGUUCUGCAAACUAAAUAUAUUUCGUAGAAUAUAACAUUUUGUAAUGUUUUACAUGCGAAACUUAUAUGAUAUUCAAGAUUUUAAAGUGAAAUAAUGAUUUUGUACAACAUGAUGUGCAAAACUAUACGUUUUGCAAUGUUUUUAUGCAAUAUUUCACUGGUAGAACAUAAGUGGUCUCCACGGUUUCCAAUAAAAUGGUCUACAUAGAACUUUACUCUGGGGAUAGAUAUAUGGAUGGAUUGAUGGAUUGCCCAAGUACAAACCAAUAUUAAAGUGAAAAUUACAUAUAUAAUGAUCCCCAGAAGUCACCAUCAUGUCUUAAGAAAUCACACAUAAUCCCCCGUGUUUCAAAUUUGAUCUUUCCCUCAAUCAGUGAUUUCUUAUUUUUGAAAUAUGACUUUAUUCUAUUUUUUUCUUCUCCCAACAUUUAAUGUGCAUACCAUAUGUGAUAUAUUUGGAUAUGAUGUAGAAUUUAUUUUUUAUUUAACUUUUAGUUUUUAAUUUUAUGAAGGUUCAUAGUUAAGUAUUACAAACACACACACACAUAUAUACUUUAAUUUAAUUAGUAAUAGACUUUUUUUAUGUAAUGAACAUUAUGUAUUAGUAAUUAUUGAGAAACUUGUUAUUAUAUUUAAUAAGAACUUAAUUUUUAAAAUUAAAUUUUUCUUAAAUUGAAUAUAUUAUAAUUUAAAUGAUAAACUUUCUACAAUAUAAUUUAUUUGUAUCUCAAAAAUAGUAACAUAAUAUUAGUAACCACAACUAACUUAACCUAUAAGGUUAUCUUUAAUUUUUAAAAAAUUAAUUAUUCAUCAUGAACAAAUUUUUUUAUUUUUCUCUAUUUAAUCAAAAUUAAUCUAGAAGUGUUUGUAUACUUUGACACUUAUAUAAAAUAGGUGGUUUAUAAAGCAAAAAAAUUGCUAGUUGUUUGCUUCAACACUUAAUUAAUCUAAUUGGACAUUAUUAAGGGUUUUAUUCCAAAAAGAUAUAACUAAGAACAAACUUUUUUGCCACUAGGCCCAACCCAUCAUGUGAGGAACUUAUAUUAGUAUCUGGUUUGUGCAUAGUAAAACCCUAAUCUAAGUAGCAGCCCGCCUCCCCACAUCCCUUCUCAUCAUCUUGGUUCCAUCUCACCCUAAUCAAGGUAUCACUGAGUCCUCUCCCGAUCUCUUUGUUGAACCCUCUCUGGAUCUCUUCUGAUCUCAUUGGUUACUCCAGAUCUCUUUGGUGAGCCCUAUGUGGAUGUGGAUCUCUUCUGAUCUCAUGGGUGGUGGUAAACAUGUCUGUUAGUGGUUUUUCAUUUCAGUAGCUAGAUUUGACCUUUGGUGUAUCUUUUGCUUAAUGAUUGUAUAUUUAGGCUAAACAUAUAUGAUGAAUUUGUUGUGAUCUCUAUUCCUCAUAUAUUUCAUAUAAGACCUUCAUUUAAUUGAAUUUUAAUUUUAAUAUAUUAUAUUCAUAAAUUGAUGAAUUUAUUAUGAAAUAUUUGUUAGACUUUUAUUUAAAUGAAAAAAAUACUAAAAGAAUAUGAAUAAUGAUUCUUUGCAUCAUUAUACACUAUCCAAAACUGCAAUAGUAGUGAAAACUUUUUAUUUUUAUGUCCACUAUGCAAGCAAAAUAGAUCACAUAAGUGAAUAAGGAGUCUAUGAAUGUGUUAUAUAUAUAGUGUAUUUAAUAAUUUUUCACUUAUUUUUAUUGUGUUGAAUUUUUGUGCUAUUACAUUUGAAUAUUGCACCUUCAACAUUUUAAUAUACACGUGGCUAAUUAUUUUUUUGCAGCAACUCUCCUCAUAUAGGUGAUGAUAAACAAUGAAGAAAAUGCUCCAGUAUUCUCUAAAUUAAUUAUAUUCUCCAGGUAGUAUAACAUAAACUUUUUGUUAUAACAUUACAACAGUAAUAUAUUUUUUGUACCUUAAUUAAUAGUAUUCAUACUUUGUUGUGUAGAUUUAUUAAGAUAUUAUAGUUAGGUACACCGUACAUGUGGCUUGGAGAAGUUAACUAAACAGUAAAUUCAUAGGAUUAAGAUAACACAACUACUCAACUUUGAAGAUAUAAAAAUUUAGUAAGUUUAUAAUUAAAUUUGAAUGAAACUAUCUAAUUAAGCAAUUACAGGACUUGGAGAUGAUUAGAAAAUAUUUUACAUAGGUAAUUUAAAAGGUAAUCUAAGUUCAACCCAAAUUAAAAUCUGAGCACUUGCAACAAAGCUAGACGGCUUAAACAGGUAUUGUUGUCUUGUUUUUGAAGGUGUUACGGAAUGAGACUAUCCUGAUAGAUCGGGAUUUGAAGCCUGAAUCCAGAGAAAUUUUAUCAAAAGAAAAUGCUCCUAAUUGCAUUUUAAGAUUCGAGCUCACUUACCGAGAAUCUUCUCUUAAACAUUCACUUCUUUCCUGAACUAGGUUUUGAGGUUUAAACCAUGUUAAGACAUAAUAUAAGAGGUGCAAAUUAUGUUUCUUCUUUCCACCUUUUCAGUGAUCUUCUUUAGCGGAAAAAUAUUGUUCUUAGUAUGUCAUAUAAUUAAAAAGGAAUUUUUAACGCAGUGACUUACUUUUUAUUAGAAAUUGUUCUUUAGUUUUGUCUUCUAGGUACAUUUAAGUUUUAACCCCAGGUUGAACUUGGUAGUAACGUGUUAUAAUGUACUACCCUUUGGUAGAAGAUGAUGUCUUUAUUUCUUAUCGUAUAGAUAGUUGUGCUUUCUGUUUAACUCUAAGACUUUUAUUUAAAUGAAAAAAAUACUAAAAGAAUAUGAAUAAUGAUUCUUUGCAUCAUUAUACACUAUCCAAAACUGCAAUAGUAGUGAAAACUUUUUAUUUUUAUGUCCACUAUGCAAGCAAAAUAGAUCACAUAAGUGAAUAAGGAGUCUAUGAAUGUGUUAUAUAUAUAGUGUAUUUAAUAAUUUUUCACUUAUUUUUAUUGUGUUGAAUUUUUGUGCUAUUACAUUUGAAUAUUGCACCUUCAACAUUUUAAUAUACACGUGGCUAAUUAUUUUUUUGCAGCAACUCUCCUCAUAUAGGUGAUGAUAAACAAUGAAGAAAAUGCUCCAGUAUUCUCUAAAUUAAUUAUAUUCUCCAGGUAGUAUAACAUAAACUUUUUGUUAUAACAUUACAACAGUAAUAUAUUUUUUGUACCUUAAUUAAUAGUAUUCAUACUUUGUUGUGUAGAUUUAUUAAGAUAUUAUAGUUAGGUACACCGUACAUGUGGCUUGGAGAAGUUAACUAAACAGUAAAUUCAUAGGAUUAAGAUAACACAACUACUCAACUUUGAAGAUAUAAAAAUUUAGUAAGUUUAUAAUUAAAUUUGAAUGAAACUAUCUAAUUAAGCAAUUACAGGACUUGGAGAUGAUUAGAAAAUAUUUUACAUAGGUAAUUUAAAAGGUAAUCUAAGUUCAACCCAAAUUAAAAUCUGAGCACUUGCAACAAAGCUAGACGGCUUAAACAGGUAUUGUUGUCUUGUUUUUGAAGGUGUUACGGAAUGAGACUAUCCUGAUAGAUCGGGAUUUGAAGCCUGAAUCCAGAGAAAUUUUAUCAAAAGAAAAUGCUCCUAAUUGCAUUUUAAGAUUCGAGCUCACUUACCGAGAAUCUUCUCUUAAACAUUCACUUCUUUCCUGAACUAGGUUUUGAGGUUUAAACCAUGUUAAGACAUAAUAUAAGAGGUGCAAAUUAUGUUUCUUCUUUCCACCUUUUCAGUGAUCUUCUUUAGCGGAAAAAUAUUGUUCUUAGUAUGUCAUAUAAUUAAAAAGGAAUUUUUAACGCAGUGACUUACUUUUUAUUAGAAAUUGUUCUUUAGUUUUGUCUUCUAGGUACAUUUAAGUUUUAACCCCAGGUUGAACUUGGUAGUAACGUGUUAUAAUGUACUACCCUUUGGUAGAAGAUGAUGUCUUUAUUUCUUAUCGUAUAGAUAGUUGUGCUUUCUGUUUAACUCUAGACUGUAUGUAAAAUUUACUUUUGGGGUCAUGUCUAGUUUAUGUGUACUCGUACGAUACAUUUUUUGGGUAGAUUGCAAAACCCUGAAGCACAAACCAAUUAUAAGCAUCACUGUUAUAGUAGCAACUGAAGGAUACAACUAAUAUUGUUAGAAGGAAAAGGGGAAGACCAAAGUAAGAAGUCCAAGAAACAGAUAGGUAGGGCUGUUCACGAACCGAGCCGAGCCGAGUUUUGACCGAGUCGAGCCGAGCUUUAAAUUUUUUCUUAUCGAACCGAGCCGAGUCGAGCUUUCUUAUCGAACAAAAAAGUGUGUUCGAGCUCGAGCUCGAUAACUAACGAGCCGAACACGAGCUUGUUCACGAACAAAUACGAGCCGAGUCGAGUCGAGUCGAGCCGAGCCGAGCUAGAGAAAAAUAAGGCCAAACCGCUACUUUACUCUUAAAAUAGCAAGCCAAAUAAAAUUUUUAGUAUGUUUUGAUGGUACCAUAUUAUAGUUGAUAUUCUCAUGAUCGAUUUGAUAUAUUAUAUGUUGAAUUCGGCGUUCAAUAACAUAUAUAUAUUACGAAAUUAUUAUGAAAAUAUUCUUUUUUUUCGAGCUUUAACGAGCCGAGCUCGAGCCGAACGAGUUCGAGCCGAGCUCGAGCCGAACAUACUAAAAGCUCGGCUCGAGCUCGUUUUCUUAACGAACAAUUUUUUGUGUUCGAGCUCGAGCUCGUUAACUUAACGAGCCGAGCCGAACGAGCUCUUAACGAGCCGAGCUCGAGCUUGUUCGCGAACAACUCGGUUCGUUAAACAGCUCUACAGAUAGGUUCGGUGAAAGAUAUUCUACCAGCACACACACAUAUAGAAUUAAAGAUAUUUUAGACGAAAUAUUUGUUGGAAACUAAUAUGUGUUUACUGUAUGGUGGGAAAUAUAAAACAGAAAUCUAAACACAAGCACACUAUUAUAUAUAUAUGAAAUAAGGUUAUGGCUUAAUUUUGCCUUACACAGAGUACUUAGGCUACAGCCUUUCUUGUUUCACAAACACAGAGCUUCUUCUUAGGCUACAGCCUUUCUUGUUUCACAAACACAGAGCUUCUGCUCUCUUUUUCUAUCUUGUUACAACAAGCUACUUGCGUCUAUUUAACGUACAUGCAUGAGGUUGUAUUUAUAGGAUACAAUACACACAGCUGACCUAAUUCCUUACAUCAACAUAAUAAACACCCUGCAGAUCCAAGAAAGAUAUUAACUUCAGCCUACCUUAUUUCUGGGUUGCAUCAAUGCAUAUACACCUGACCUUGUUGCCGUUUUUUGACUUCCACAAGCUUAGACUAUUAAUAUUAUCCUGCUUCAUUCUUAUCUAGCUGUAUAUAUAUAUUAUGGUUUAACUUUCCCAUGCAUGUACAUCUGUUAUUUUAAUCCUGCUAGCUGUAUUUGACUAGAUUGCUGCUUGCUUCCAUUUAUAUCCCAGAAGACCUGGAAUCUAUUGUGCUGCAUUUACCUCUGCUGCAUGCUUACUAUUCAAACCAAUUUGUUAUAAUUAAUGUAUUGCUAGCUGGAGAGUUUGAAAUUCUAACAAUAUUUUUCUGUACGUAGGUAAGAGAAGCACAGGAGGUAAUGUGGAUAUGAAAGUGAAAUCCAGUGCAGAGAACAACUUUGUAACAACUGUUGUUGAAAUACCCAAAAAAGGUGAUUUUCAGCCUACUAUACCUAGCAAGGAACCUGGGAAACAUGUGUAUAAGAGAAGUAAAGUUCAUCAGCAGAAUGGUGUGCAAGUCAAAAUUCUUGACAGUGAAUGACACUAUCAAGGUAUGUGCUGGAACUUAUUUCAUAUUAGAUACAUGCAAGUAAUUAUUUAGCUGAAGACCAUUCUUUGCAUGUGAUUUUUUAUGCGCUUUUUAAUUGCUGGAAGAUGUUGAGGAAAAAUAUAUCUGUAACUACUAUAAUAGUCUAUUUGGUCCAGUUUAUUUUGUGGCAGUUAGAUUAACCAUUAUCAAUAAUUCAUUUCAUGAUUUUCAGCUUUUCUAUUUGUAUUUUACGGCUAUGAAAAUUCUACUACUGCUAUUGUAUUGGUAACAGAAAGUUUUGUUAUUUUUUGAAGUAGUUCUGUCUGUAAACAGACAAGAUGAUCCCGAAACUCCUCCAUUUAAUCAAGAGAAUGCAAUGGAGUCCGCUCCACUUCAGAAAAAGGAUGGUCCGGGUAAGCUCAUUGACUGAACUAUAAUUGUGAUAUUAUGAUCUGGAAUCUUGUUAUGUUAUCCAUGAAAUUUACCUGUUAAAAAUCUCAAUCAACAUGCUGCAUCAAUUGAUAUAGGUGGUGGAGUUGGAACCCCUGCCAUUGUAGGCAUUGAUGCUAUGGAGAACGAACAGAGUUUGCCAUUUGUUAAGAAUCCUCUACUUUGGGAAGAUAUCCAUUCUAUGGAAACCUAUAAGAAAAUGACACAGAAGCCACACUUCGCUCCACUGUACGAACAUAUAGAAGAAGAACGUGAAGGCUUGGCAGUAGUGUUGGAAACGUGAUGGGUUUAGGCUUUAUCAACUUUGUAAAUUCAAAAUACACACGCCUGUAUAAUAAAACAAACAACAGAAAUUUUAUUUCAUAAACUCAAAGCUACAGCUUGAUUAGAACUUCGGCUCUUUAAUUUGUUUUCUUUUUCUGGUUUUCAAA